rnacentral:rRNA from 1 species
UACGAAGGGGGCUAGCGUUGUUCGGAAUUACUGGGCGUAAAGGGCUCGUAGGCGGCCAACUAAGUCCGACGUGAAAUCCCCAGGCUUAACCUGGGAACUGCGUCGGAUACUGGAUGGCUUGAAUCCGGGAGAGGGAUGCGGAAUUCCAGGUGUAGCGGUGAAAUGCGUAGAUAUCUGGAGGAACACCGGUGGCGAAGGCGGCAUCCUGGACCGGCAUUGACGCUGAGGAGCG